rnacentral:rRNA from 1 species
GAUGAACGCUAGCUACAGGCUUAACACAUGCAAGUCGAGGGGAAACGACAUCGAAAGCUUGCUUUUGAUGGGCGUCGACCGGCGCACGGGUGAGUAACGCGUAUCCAACCUGCCCAUCACUUGGGAAUAACCUUGCGAAAGUAAGACUAAUACCCAAUGACAUCCCACGAAGACAUCUGAAUGGGAUUAAAGAUUUAUCGGUGAUGGAUGGGGAUGCGUCUGAUUAGCUUGUUGGCGGGGUAACGGCCCACCAAGGCAACGAUCAGUAGGGGUUCUGAGAGGAAGGUCCCCCACAUUGGAACUGAGACACGGUCCAAACUCCUACGAGAGGCAGCAGUGAGGAAUAUUGGGCAAUGGGCGAGAGCCUGAACCAGCCAAGUAGCGUGCAGGAUGACGGCCCUAUGGGUUGUAAACUGCUUUUAUAAGGGAAUAAAGUGGGUCUCGUGGAACUUUUUGCAUGUACCUUAUGAAUAAGGACCGGCUAAUUCCGUG